UACGGGGGGGGCAAGCGUUGUUCGGAAUUACUGGGCGUAAAGGGCUCGUAGGCGGCCAACUAAGUCGGAUGUGAAAUCCCCAAGCUUAACUUGGGAACUGCAUCCGAUACUGGAAGGCUUGAAUCCGGGAGAGGGAUGCAGAAUUCCAGGUGUAGCGGUGAAAUGCGUAGAUAUCUGGAGGAAUACCGGUGGCGAAGGCGGCAUCCUGGACCGGGAUUGACGCUGAGGAGCGAAAGCUAGGGGAGCAAACGGG
rnacentral:rRNA from 1 species